rnacentral:rRNA from 1 species
UACGUAGGUGACCAGCGUUGUCCGGAUUUACUGGGCGUAAAGAGCGCGCAGGCGGUCGUUCAAGUCGAGUGUGAAAGCCCCCGGCUCAACUGGGGAGGGUCAUUCGAUACUGAUCGACUCGAAGGCAGGAGAGGGAAGUGGAAUUCCCGGUGUAGUGGUGAAAUGCGUAGAUAUCGGGAGGAACACCAGUGGCGAAGGCGACUUUCUGGUCUGUAACUGACGCUGAGGCGCGAAAGCGUGGGGAGCAAACAGG